rnacentral:rRNA from 1 species
UAGCAUAUCAAUAAGCGGAGGAAAAGAAACCAACAGGGAUUGCCUCAGUAACGGCGAGUGAAGCGGCAACAGCUCAAAUUUGAAAUCUGGCCUCUUUGGGGUCCGAGUUGUAAUUUGUAGAGGAUGUUUCGGGUACCGCCUCGGUUUAAAUUUCUUGGAACAGAAUGUCAAAGAGGGUGAGAGUCCCGUCUUGGACCGGCGGUAGGGCCCGUGUGAAACUCCUUCGACGAGUCGAGUUGUUUGGGAAUGCAGCUCAAAAUGGGUGGUAAAUUUCAUCUAAAGCUAAAUAUUGGCCAGAGACCGAUAGCGCACAAGUAGAGUGAUCGAAAGAUGAAAAGCACUUUGAAAAGAGAGUUAAACAGUAUGUGAAAUUGUUGAAAGGGAAGCGCUUACAACCAGACUUGAGCGCGGCGGUUCCCCCUUCCUUUUGGUUGGGUUACUCCGUCGUGUCCAGGCCAACAUCGGUUCUGGGGGUCGGUCAAAGACCCUGGGAAUGUACCUACCCUCCGGGCGUAGACUUAUAGCCCAGGGUGUCAUGCGGCCUCCCGGGACCGAGGAACGCGCUUCGGCUCGGAUGUUGGCGUAAUGGUUGUCAGCGACCCGUCUUGAAACACGGACCAAGGAGUCUAACAUCUAUGCGAGUGUUUGGGUGUCAAACCCGGAACGCGGAAUGAAAGUGAACGGAGGUGGGAAGCCUUGCGGCUGCACCAUCGACCGAUCCUGAUGUCUUCGGAUGGAUUUGAGUAAGAGCAUAGCUGUUGGGACCCGAAAGAUGGUGAACUAUGCCUGAAUAGGGUGAAGCCAGAGGAAACUCUGGUGGAGGCUCGCAGCGGUUCUGACGUGCAAAUCGAUCGUCAAAUUUGGGUAUAGGGGCGAAAGACUAAUCGAACCAUCUGGUAGCUGGGUCCUGC